rnacentral:rRNA from 1 species
CGAACGCUGGCGGCGCGCCUAACACAUGCAAGUCGAACGAGCGAGAGAGAGCUUGCUUUCUCGAGCGAGUGGUGAACGGGUGAGUAACGCGUGAGGAACCUGCCUCAAAGAGGGGGACAACAGUUGGAAACGACUGCUAAUACCGCAUAAGCCCACGGGUCGGCAUCGACCAGAGGGGGAAGGAGCAAUCCGCUUUGAGAUGGCCUCGCGUCCGAUUAGCUAGUUGGUGAGGUAAUGGCCCACCAAGGCGACGAUCGGUAGCCGGACUGAGAGGUUGAACGGCCACAUUGGGACUGAGAUACGGCCCAGACUCCUACGGGAGGCAGCAGUGGGGAAUAUUGCACAAUGGGCGCAAGCCUGAUGCAGCGACGCCGCGUGGGGGAUGACGGCCUUCGGGUUGUAAACUCCUUUCGCUAGGGACGAAGCUUUUUGUGACGGUACCUAGAUAAGAAGCACCGGCUAACUACGUGCCAGCAGCCGCGGUAAAA